rnacentral:RNase_P_RNA from 1 species
CAGGGAAGCCGGGUAAUCGCUUCGUGCUUUGGCACGGGGAGGAAAGUCCGGACACCUACAAGCUCCGCGCUCCCCGAUUCGGCAUUGGCCGGCGAAGGGGAGGCUUGCCGGGAGGAAUCCCGGGAUGCCAGACAGUGCAACAGAAAACAGACCGCCCGGCUAUGGCCGGGGUAAGGGUGAAAAGGUGAGGUAAGAGCUCACCGCCCCAAGGGCGACCAAGGGGGCACGGUAAACCUCGCGGGGUGCAAGUUCAUGCAGAUGGUAUACGCCGCUUGUCGUGACCCCAUCGGGUAGAACGCGCAGAUAAAUGAUUACCCUCGACAAAAUCCGGCUUACAGGCUUCCCUGCAUC